UACAGAGGGGGCAAGCGUUGUUCGGAAUUACUGGGCGUAAAGGGCGCGUAGGCGGCCCGCUAAGUCGAACGUGAAAUCCCCGAGCUCAACUCGGGAACUGCGUCCGAUACUGGCGGGCUUGAAUCCGGGAGAGGGAUGCGGAAUUCCAGGUGUAGCGGUGAAAUGCGUAGAUAUCUGGAGGAACACCGGUGGCGAAGGCGGCAUCCUGGGCAGUAGCUGACACUGAGGCGCGACAGCGUGGGGAGCAAACAGG
rnacentral:rRNA from 1 species